rnacentral:rRNA from 1 species
UGCAUAUCAAAAAAGCGGAGGAAAAGAAACCAACAGGGAUUGCCUUAGUAGCGGCGAGUGAAGCGGCAAAAGCUCAAAUUUGAAAUCUGGCUCUUUCAGAGUCCGAGUUGUAAUUUGAAGAAGGUAUCUUUGGGUCUGGCUCUUGUCUAUGUUUCUUGGAACAGAACGUCACAGAGGGUGAGAAUCCCGUGCGAUGAGAUGAUCCAGGCCUAUGUAAAGUUCCUUCGAAGAGUCGAGUUGUUUGGGAAUGCAGCUCUAAGUGGGUGGUAAAUUCCAUCUAAAGCUAAAUAUUGGCGAGAGACCGAUAGCGAACAAGUACAGUGAUGGAAAGAUGAAAAGAACUUUGAAAAGAGAGUGAAAAAGUACGUGAAAUUGUUGAAAGGGAAGGGCUUGAGAUCAGACUUGGUAUUUUGUAUGUUACUUCUUCGGGGGUGGCCUCUACAGUUUAUCGGGCCAGCAUCAGUUUGGGCGGUAGGAGAAUUGCGUUGGAAUGUGGCACGGCUUCGGUUGUGUGUUAUAGCCUUCGUCGAUACUGCCAGCCUAGACUGAGGACUGCGGUUUAUACCUAGGAUGUUGGCAUAAUGAUCUUAAGUCGCCCGUCUUGAACCACGG